GGGCCCGCACAAGCGGUGGAGCAUGUGGUUUAAUUCGAUGAUACGCGAGGAACCUUACCAGGGCUUAAAUGCAUAAUGACAGAUUGGGAAACCAAUCCUUCUUCGGACAAUAUGCAAGGUGCUGCAUGGUUGUCGUCAGCUCGUGCCGUGAGGUGUUGGGUUAAGUCCCGUAACGAGCGCAACCCCUAUCCUUAGUUGCCAGCGGUUCGGCCGGGGACUCUAAGGAAACUGCCAGCGCAAGCUGUGAGGAAGGUGGGGAUGACGUCAAAUCAUCACGGCCCUUACGUCCUGGGCUACACACGUGCUACAAUGGUAGGUACAAAGGGCAGCCACUUGGUGACAAGGAGCU
rnacentral:rRNA from 1 species